rnacentral:misc_RNA from 1 species
GCAAACUUGGUCAUUUAGAGGAAGUAAAAGUCGUAACAAGGUCUCCGUAGGUGAACCUGCGGAGGGAUCAUUACAGAGUUGUAAAACUCCUAAACCCACUGUGUAUUAUACCUGUUUCUUGUUGCUUCGGCAGGCGGCCCCAGGGCGGGGCCUUAGCCUUAUAGGCGCCUGCCGGAGGACUAUAAAAACUCUGUUAUAUCGGUUGUUAUCUGAGUCUUAAAGACGAAUUAGUCAAAACCUUCAACAACGGAUCUCUUGGUUCUGGCAUCGAUGAAGAACGCAGC